rnacentral:rRNA from 1 species
GAGCAUGUGGUUUAAUUCGAAGCAACGCGAAGAACCUUACCAGGUCUUGACAUCCUUUGACCACUCUGGAGACAGAGCUUUCCCUUCGGGGACAAAGUGACAGGUGGUGCAUGGUUGUCGUCAGCUCGUGUCGUGAGAUGUUGGGUUAAGUCCCGCAACGAGCGCAACCCUUAAUUUUAGUUGCCAGCAUUUAGUUGGGCACUCUAAAGUGACUGCCGGUGCAAGCCGGAGGAAGGUGGGGAUGACGUCAAAUCAUCAUGCCCCUUAUGACCUGGGCUACACACGUGCUACAAUGGAUGGUACAAAGGGUAGCGAAGCCGCGAGGUGGAGCCAAUCCCAUAAAACCAUUCUCAGUUCGGAUUGUAGGCUGCAACUCGCCUACAUGAAGCCGGAAUCGCUAGUAAUCGUGGAUCAGCAUGCCACGGUGAAUACGUUCCCGGGCCUUGUACACACCGCCCGUCACACCACGAGAGUUUGUAACACCCGAAGUCGGUAGGGUAACCUUUAUGGAGCCAGCCGCCGAAGGUGGGACAGAUAAUUGGGGUGAAGUCGUAACAAGGUAGCCGUAUCGGAAGGUGCGGCUGGAUCACCUCCUUUCUAAGGAA